UCCGCAGGCACGCCGGGGGCUCCGCAGGCACGCCAGGGGUUCCGCAGGCACGCAGAGGGCUCCGCAGGCACGCCGGGGGGUUCCGCAGGCACGCAGGGGGUUCCGCAGGCACGCAGAGGGUUCCGCAGGCACGCCGGGGGCUCCGCAGGCACGCGGGGGGUUCCGCAGGCACAGCCACUAGAGAUCGUCUUUUUCAUGUUCCCAGUCAUUUUGCUUCAGGUGCUCAUUUUGAAGCCUUACAGAGAGGGAAGUCUGUGUUGCAUAUUGACUUCUAAUCAAGUUAUGGCCUCCAUCAGAGACUACAGAGAGCCUGCAAACCCAUUGUGGAAAGGAAAGCAGCGGGGUCGCCCGUGCCCCUCAGCCAUGCCCAGCCCCAGCCUGUGGGUUUGGACACCCCUCCCGCCCGGGUCCUUCCACUGACUGACUAGGGGUGUAGAGACACUGCAGGGAUC